CGCCCGCGCCAGCAGCACGGCGUGGCAGCGCAGCACCACGGCCUUGUGGCGCGCCUGGUGGCGGUAGACCCAGGCGAAGACGCGCGGGUGGCGCGCGUCCGCCGCGCAGUAGGUGAUGCGCGGCAGCAGGUAGGCGUGCGCCGGUCGGCGGCCCCCGGGGCCCCCUGAGCUGCUGCGCUCGCACGGCUGCAUGCGGAGGCCGUGCGGCCCCAGCGUCAGCUUCAUCUUGGUGCCCCCGCCCGGCCCGCAGCGCGCCCAGAUCUUGCCCACGGCGUCGUCGGUGCAGCCGUCGCCCUUGGCGUGCAGGGUGACGGCGUUGCCCAGAUGAGAAACCAAGACUCGGGUAGGUGCUGGACUUGACGGCAAUCGCACGGUCAGUAAACCAACGAGCUGAUGGAAGAGCCCGGCACCUGACUCCCAAGCCUGAAUUGAGUCAUCCUGUCCUUAUACAUUGAGCUACAGCUGCUGUUAAUAAUUAAGGGCCCCCGCUGCUUCCUGACUGCCUUCUGCAUUCCGUGCUCUUGCUGCCCCGCUGUGGCUGAACGUAUCCACUGCAGCACUGAUCACACCUGUUCCUGGGGGAAAAUCGGAGAAGGCGGUGGCAUCCCACUCAAGUCCUCUUGCCUGGAAAAUCCCAUGGACGGAGGAGCCUGGUGGGCUGCAGUCCAUGGGGUCGUGAAGAGUUGGACAUGACUUCACUUUCACUUUCACUUUUCACCUUCAUGCAUUGGAGAAGGAAAUGGCAACCCACUCCAGUAUUCUUGCCUGGAGAAUGCUGGGGAUGGCGGAGCCUGGUGGGCUGCCAUCUCUGGGGAUGCACAGAGUCGGACACGACUGAUGCGACUUAGCAGCAGCAGCAGCAG
ensembl:lncRNA